AACCUAGCACACCUGCGGUGUGUACCUGCGGAAGGAUCAUUACCGAGUUUACAACUCCCAAACCCCUGUGAACAUACCUAUACGUUGCCUCGGCGGAUCAGCCCGCGCCCUGUAAAAAGGGACGGCCCGCCCGAGGACCCCUAAACUCUGUUUUUAGUGGAACUUCUGAGUAAAACAAACAAAUAAAUCAAAACUUUCAACAACGGAUCU
rnacentral:misc_RNA from 1 species